GCCGGUUACAUUGAACACAAUCAUAGCUGUACAUUAGAUUCUAUUUAUUAGUUUCAAAAUGUUUCCAUAUUUUUGCAUGCAUCAAAUGACAAUUGUUGGUAGACAGUGCAGUUCAAAGUACUUUAUUGAAUUUGACAAAAGGCAGAUGUCAGGACAGACUGCUUUCAGAAAGUCAGGAACCUGUAAAACAGAAAUAUUCAGAAAGUAUGCCAUCAAGUGAAACUUCUUCGCCAAAAAGACUAAAUUUAAAGUUAACUUACUGCGGCGAACGACGAGGUCAAUGUUUUACAACGGCACUAGUGGAUGCCGCUACCUGGUAUACUGUUCGACUGCUGGGGCCUCGGCGGUUUUUGAAGGUUGCCAGUAUUGGAAGUGGGAAGCUUUUGGGGCCUAGGUGGUGGCAAAAUAGAACCUGAAACCAAGUCCCACAUGCCAGCUUUAGUUUGAAACACCCCUUUCUGGGGGUUGAGUUUAUGUGGUUGGUAGACAGAACUGAGAGUAGUCAACUGCUGGGGCAUCAGCGGUUUUUGAAGGUAGCCAGUAUUGAAGGUGGGCAGCUCCUGGGGCCUCGGCGCCGUUUGAAGGUAGCCAGUAUUGAAGGUGGGUGGCCCCUGGGGUCUGGGGGGCAUUCGACGGCAGCCAGUAUUGGAAGUUGGCAGCUCCUGGGGCAUGGGGGGCUUCUGAGGGUAGCCAGUAUUGGAAGUGGGCAGCUCCUGGGGCAUGGGGGGCUUCUGAGGGUAGACAAGAUUUGAUGUGGGAAGCUCCUGAGGGUAGCCAGUAUUGGAAGUUGGCAGCUCCUGGGGCAUGGGGGGCUUCUGAGGGUAGCCAGUAUUGGAAGUGGGCAGCCCCUGGGGCCUGGGGGGCUUCUGAGGGUAGCCAGUAUUGGACGCAGGCAGUGCCCGGGGCCUGGGUGGCUUCUGAGGGUAGACAAGAUUUGAUGUGGGAAGCUCCUGAGGGUAGCCAGUAUUGGAAGUGGGCAGCCCCUGGGGCCUGGGAGGCUUCUGAGGGUAGCCAGUAUUGGAAGCGGGCAGUGCCCGGGGCCUGGGUGGCUUCUGAGGGUAGACAAGAUUUGAUGUGGGAAACUCCUGAGGGUAGCCAGUAUUGGAAGUGGGCAGCUCCUGGGGCCUGGGGGGCUUCUGAGGGUAGACAAGAUUUGAGGUGGGCUGCUCCUGUGGGUAGAUCAUAGUCGAUGUGGGAAGCUCCUGGGGGUAGACAGUAUCGGAGGUGCUCUGCUCAUGAACUGCUUUUGUUGGGAAACCAAUUUUGAAAGGGGGCGACUCCUGGGUCCUCAGCCAAUUUUGUGGGUAGCCCAGAUUGAACGCACUGGGUUGAGGAUCAGAUUGCAUAAUAAUUGCACUACUUGAGGCAAUACCAGACUCAAUGCUAUAUCCUUUUUGUUGAGGGACCAAAUCCAAGUUGCCACUGUUGGUCCACAAUACACCAUUACCAUAAGUGUUAGUUUGAGGUGGCUGCUGAGAGUUCUUUGGAGAUUUCCUAAGGAUCUGUGAGCUAGGGACGUAACUAGAAACACUUCCAUCUCGACUGUAACCAUCUACUGGCCCAUUUCCACUCUGGGUACCCAGAAAUCCUCCAGGCUGUGCAGAGCUCUCAUAUUGAGACACAAAAGCAGGGCUCCGUCUUCUGGGAUAAGAAAAGAGAGGCCCAAUGCCACUGAUGCCUUCACUUUUGUCACGCAGUGCUAGAAAAAGAAAAAAUAUUUUAGAAGCCUAGAUUUUCAAGAGGUUACUGAAAUGAAGCGGCCAGUCGAGUCCCCU
ensembl:lncRNA